GGAAGGGUGGGACCAACUCCUACUAUCGAUGACUGAUCUUCACAACCAACACUUGCUCAUCAAGUACUCAAGGGAUGUAGCUUUACAGAAAGCCCAGUCCUCAGAGAGCUUAGUUACAAUCGUGCACUGCCUAACGAUGUUUCAGUCCACAACAGGCAGGAUGUACAGCGUGGUUCCAUAGGAUCUUAAUGGAACUGAAGAACUUCUGCUCCUGGUGAUGGGCAGGCAGAGUGUCACCGCACAACUCUGUCCUCGUAUUUGCAGAGAUGCUGAUGUGAGCUGGCCCAGUGAGCAGACCUGCUGCGCUGCCAGUCUAUCAAAGUACAAUAUGUACAAUUCCCUUCAGUGCGUGAGGUUUGAUAAUGACCCUGGACCCCUGUGCUGCUGAUUCCUGUUUACCACGCUAGACUUUUUUACCAUUUUAGAGUGAACUUCUAUUUAUAAAAAUACAGUGGACUGUAAAGCCACCUUACAUGUAUAACAGCAGCCACCAAUGUCUUGUUUACCUGCGUCUUGACUGCAUUGGGGACCACAUGAAGCAACUGACCUGCAGCAGCCAGGUUUGUGACAGUACACUCCAUGAUGUUUGUGCAAUGACAAAGCCACACGAUAACACAUUUCUUAGAACAUGUCUCUGUCAAGCAAUGCUGGACUGUAUUUUACCUAAUUUUUAUAAGCACCUGACAGGGAAAUGUGGUGAUCUAUGUCUUAGACAUGAGAAGAUGGAGGGUUAGGGAUUUCCAGUGAUUUGCUUGUGAUGGAGGUCAUGACUAGCACCUCAGGAUUUGAAUCAGACCUACAUCAUGCCACUAAUCAGCGGUUUCCAAAUUGUGCUCUGUGGAACCCCAAGGGUUACACUGAAUUUUUUUCAGAGGCCAUUGUGGAUAGAGGUGGGUGAUUUUGUGGAAUGCCGGGAUCACUUCCCCACCCCAAGAUAGAUUAAGUAAGAGAGAGACCUGAGGGGAACCAAAGGCCAGGGAUGAGGGACAACGAGCUGUUGGGGGUGAACCAAUGACAGAGGUGCAGAAAGAUCGGUAACGCCGGUUACCAGUGACGAGUCCUGCUCCCUCACGUGUCGAAGCUUAACAUUAGAGAAACGCGCAGAGGCAUGAAAUAUGAAGCAAAGUUAUUUAAAAAGGGGGAACAUAGACUUCUCCUGGGAGGGAGAGGGGGCCAUAGCUGGUGUCCUAAGAAGCAGGUCUUAGGCUUCCUUUUUCUGCUCUCUUCCCCUUCUCUGUCUCCUUCCUGGGUUCCUGACUAGCCCAGGAGAUGCUCAGAGGGUGAGAAGCAGGUGGGCUGGAG
rnacentral:lncRNA from 1 species